CAAAACCCCGAGACAGAUCGUAACAGGAAGUGGAAUUCUGAAUUGCGGACUCAACUUCAUCACUUUGCCUAUAAAUCACACCGUGAGCAAUGGUUCAUUGAGCACUUCCUAUUGCUUCCACUAGAUGUCCCCAGUCUUUACAAAGUGGUUUGAGCCUUCUACUGUGAAAACUGACACAAUGAGAGUCUGUGGAACGUGGUCACAUGAGGAGGGCCAUCACCAUUAUGACGCCGGCGCCCCUGGCUACCCUCCCCUUUCGAAACGUUUUGAAAGACAAUGCAAUCGUCCCCCUUGAAUGUUAUUGGAGCUCUGGUUGAAAAAGGCCCUAAAGAUUUAUGUUAUACAACGUUUGACGUGUUUGAACGAACCUAAAUAAAAAAAAAAUGCAUUUUGUUGAAAGAGGAGUCCUGCGGCUGACAGAACUUUUGGAGCAGCCUUCAGAACACGCUAACAAGAACAAGCUAUUGGAACAUAAAGGAUUAACUUUUUCGAACGAAAAUACAUUUGUUGUGGACCUGGGAUCCCUGGAAGUGCUUUCUGAUGAAGAUAAUCAAAGGACAAUUACCUAACACACCUCCAGGCUGUGUAAGGGCUAUUUGACCAAGAAGGAGAGUGAUGGAGUGCUGCAUCAGAUGACCUGGCCGCCACGAUCACAUGAUCUCAACCCAGUUGAGAUGGUUUGGGAUGAGUUGGACUGCAGAGUGAAGGAAAAGCAACCAACAAGUGCUCAGCAUAUGUGGGAACUCCUUCAAGACUGUUGGAAAAGCAUUCCAGGUGAAGCUGGUUGAGAGAAUGCCAAGAGCAUACAAACCUGUCAUCAAGGCAAAGGGUGGCUACUUUGAACAAUCUGAAAUAUAAAAUAUAUAAAUCACAUUUUUAACACAUUUUUUGUUACUACAUGAUCCAAUAUGUGUUAUUUCAUAGUUUUGAUGGCUUCGCUAUUAUUCUACAAUGUAAAAAUGUUUUAAAAUAAAGAAAAACCCUUGAAUGAGUAGGUGUGUCCAAACUUUUGACCGUUACUGUACAGUGAGGGAAAAAAGUAUUUGAUCCCCCUGCUGAUUUUGUACGUUUGCCCACUGACAAAGAAAUGAUCAGUCUACAGGUUUGCACACAUCUCAGGAGGGAUUUUGUCCCACUCCUCUUUGCAGAUCUUCUCCAAGUCAUUAAGGUUUCGAGGCUGACGUUUGGCAACUCAAACUUUCAGCUCCAUCCACAAAUCUUCUAUGGGAUUAAGGUCUGGAGACUGGCUAGGCCACUCCAGGACCUUAAUGUGCUUCUUCUUGAGCCACUCCUUUGUUGCCUUGGCCGUGUGUUUUGGGUCAUUGUCAUGCUGGAAUACCCAUCCACGACCCAUUUUCAAUGCCCUGGCUGAGGGAAGGAGGUUCUCACCCAAGAUUUGACGGUACAUGGCCCAGUCCAUCGUCCCUUUGAUGCGGUGAAGUUGUCCUGUCCCCUUAGCAGAAAAACACCCCCAAAGCAUAAUGUUUCCACCUCCAUGUUUGACGGUGGGGAUGGUGUUCUUGUGGUCAUAGGAAGCAUUCCUCCUCCUCCUCCAAACACGGCGAGUUGAGUUGAUGCCAAAGAGCUCCAUUUUGGUCUCAUCUGACCACAACACUUUCACCCAGUUGUCCUCUGAAUCAUUCAGAUGUUCAUUGGCAAACUUCAGACGGGCAUGUAUAUGUGCUUUCUUGAGCAGGGGGACCUUGCAGGCGCUGCAGGAUUUCAGUCCUUCACGGUGUAGUGUGUUACCAAUUGUUUUCUUGGUGACUGGUCCCAGCUGCCUUGAGAUCAUUGACAAGAUCCUCCCGUGUAGUUCUGGGCUGAUUCCUCACCGUUCUCAUGAUCAUUGCAACUCCACGAGGUGAGAUCUUGCAUGGAGCCCAAGGCCGAGGGAGAUUGACAGUUCUUUUGUGUUUCUUCCAUUUGUGAAUAAUCGCACCAAGCUGCUUGGCGAUGGUCUUGUAGCCCAUUCCAGCCUUGUGUAGGUCUACAAUCUUGCCCCUGACAUCCUUGGAGAGCCGUUUGGUCUUGGCCAUGGUGGAGAGUUUGGAAUCUGAUUGAUUGAUUGCUUCUGUGGACAGGUGUCUUUUAUACAGGUAACAAACUGAGAUUAGGAGCACUCCCUUUAAGAGUGUGCUCUAAUCUCAGCUCGUUACCUGUAUAAAAGACACCUGGGAGCCAGAAAUCUUUCUGAUUGAGAGGGGGUCAAAUACUUAUUUCCCUCAUUAAAAUGCAAAUCAAUUUCUAACAUUUUUGACAUGCGUUUUUCUGGAUUUUUUGUUGUUGUUAUUCUGUCUCUCACUGUUCAAAUAAACCUACCAUUAAA
rnacentral:lncRNA from 1 species